GGGUCGUUAGCUCAGCUGGUAGAGCAGCGGACUCUUAAUCCGUAGGUCGAGCGUUCGAUCCGCUCACGACCCA
rnacentral:tRNA from 1 species